GCUGUAGCUCAGUGGUACAGCAUCUGCCUUGGGUGCAGAAGGUCACAAGUUUGAUCCCUGGCAUCUCCA